rnacentral:rRNA from 1 species
AUGUCCGGCGCAGUGCCCUGGUACAUCUUGGCGAUGAUGGGGUUGCAGAUGCCCUCCACCUCCAGCUCCAUCAUCUUGUCCUCCAACUCCUCGGCCUCCGCGAGCUGGUUGCCGUCCAGCCUCCUAAUGCUGUCCUCGAUCGCGUCCUCCACCUUCCUCUUGUCGUCGGCCCCGAGCUUGGGGGCGAUCUUCUCGUCCUUGACGGUGUUGCGCAUGUUGUAG